rnacentral:rRNA from 1 species
AACGUAGGUGGCAAGCGUUGUCCGGAAUUACUGGGUGUAAAGGGAGCGCAGGCGGGAUCGUAAGUUGGGAGUGAAAUUCAUGGGCUCAACCCAUGACCUGCUUUCAAAACUGCGAUUCUUGAGUGGUGUAGAGGUAGGCGGAAUUCCCGGUGUAGCGGUGGAAUGCGUAGAUAUCGGGAGGAACACCAGUGGCGAAGGCGGCCUACUGGGCACUAACUGACGCUGAGGCUCGAAAGCAUGGGUAGCAAACAGG